rnacentral:tRNA from 1 species
UCCUACGUGGUCCAGCGGCUAUGACUCUGCACUCCCAGUGCAGGGGGCCCAGGUUCAAUCCCUGGUCAGAGAA